rnacentral:lncRNA from 10 species
AAUUAUUUGUGGAGACGGGAUCUCACUGUGAUUCCCAGGCUGGUCUCCAACUCCCAGCAUCAAAGUGAUCCUCCCGCCGUGGCCUCCCAUAUGUGCUGAGAUGACAGAUAACCUUACUUCUUCCAGCACAAAGAAAAGUAAAAGCCAUGAAGCUCAGUAUCUCCCUCCUCACCACCACAAGACUAUUUACAGUAUGAGUCAAUUUCAGAACUUCUGAGAGCAUGAGGCAGACCCACACCACUUCCAGCUUUUGAGGAUCUGGACAUUUUCAACUUUGGUACUGAGGAAAUUAUUUAAGGGCAUUGUGAGUUGUUUGUUAAUUUUAAGUAAGUAAAGCAUUUACAUUAUUUAAAAAUCGCUCUCCCUCUCCCUCUCCCUCUCCCCUCUCCGCUCUUUCCACGGUCUCCCUCUGAUGCCGAGCCGGAGCUGGACUGUACUG